AACGAACGCUGGCGGCGCGCCUAACACAUGCAAGUCGAACGAGAAGGCGUAGCAAUACGCUUGUAGAGUGGCGAACGGGUGAGUAAUACGUGGGUGACCUACCCUCGAGUGGGAAGUAACCCGCCGAAGGCGGGCGUAAUGCCGCGUACGCUUCCGUCCUCACGGGGACGGAAGGAAAGACUGUACCGUGGGUACGGCGCUCAAGGAUGGGCUCACGUCCUAUCAGCUUGUUGGUAGGGGUAACGGCCACCAAGCUACGACGGGUAGGCUGGUCUGAGAGGACGAUCAGCCACACUGG
rnacentral:rRNA from 1 species